ensembl:lncRNA
CUUGUACUAUAUUCUAUUUAUUAGAAAUGAAUUACUAGGUUCAACCCAUCCUCAAGGAGAGGGGUAACAGAGGGCAUGGAUACACGUGGGAGGAUCCUGGGGGCCAUCUUACCGGCCACUUGUCAUGUCUGACACUACGGCUGGCUCUUUCUUACUUCACGGUCCUGGGCCCUUACUCCAACAACUGUCUUCUUCCCCUCUGUUCAGAUGCAGAUAAAGUUGACAUCAUGUGGAUCUCACCACUCUUUUCUACCCUGAAGAAAAUAGACAUCUGGUCCCAAGCCCCCAAGGAGGAAGCUGAACUACAAGGACAGAUGCAUCACCAGCUAGUGCCCAAAAGCUCUUUGCAGGAUGUCCCAAAACCUCAGAUAAUGAAGAACGAAGAGCUUAUCACUGUGCAACCCACAGAUCUUUCUGCCAGGGAGUUCGUGGUUUACCAGUAUGGCCUCUCCAUCCUGCACCUCCUCAUCCCCCAGCUGCAUGCUCCUGAAAUCACCCUGCAGAUUGCUUCUCGUCUUCCUGCGAUGGACGCUGCAGACAACGCCUUCCAAGGCUCCUUCUUCUAUCAGAGCGCUGAAAACACGCUGUUCGUUGGGAGAGAGUCCUUGGCGUCCGUGGGAAGUUUCAUUCUGCUGCUGAUCCGCUGCCUGGCCCACAUCGCCACCGCCGAGGACUUCCGCCAGGACUCAAACCCUGCCUUUCUGAGGUCAUUUUACAAGGGCCUGCAGGCUUAUUUCAGGGAAGCCUUCUCUACCACACUGCGGAUGUCCGCGGUCUCCUGGGACAGUAAGCUUGACCAAAGCAUAAGCGCUGCUCUGCUGGACGAGCAGCCCAUCUCUGAAAGAGGAAGAGAUCUUCUCUCUACACUCCUUGAAAGGAAGUGUGAGUCUCGCUUGGAGCCAGAGUCAUCAGAAGAGUAUAUUAAGAGAAACACAGAUCUUCUCCUCUUUACCAACAUGGAACAUUUUCUAAAAACCCUCCUCACUGCAGAACAACAGAUCCCAAGAAAACCAAGAGAUCAGCAUGGGGAUGAAGAGAAGGUGAGAUGUCCUUAUGAUCUACUGCAUUAAGACUGUACUUUGCUAUACACCUCGAAACAUUUCAUGUGUUUGGAGCCACCUUUGUAAUUGAACAUGUCAGCAGAACAAAGCAUUGGAAAUUAACGGUGGUAUGAAAAGCUACAUCAUCAGUCACUUUAUUUAAGAGUUUUCCCAGUACAGGAGAUGGUAGAUUUAGAUCUCAGAGUUCGAAAGGAAGAGAUCACAGAGUUUAUCUGCCUUCACGCAGGUAAAGCAUUAAUCCCAGAGAGUGGGAACUGAGACUCAGACUUGCCCCUGUUCACCCAACUGGAAGAGGGCAAGAAGUAACUAGAACUGGGUCCCUUGCCUUCCCAUUCAGGGUUUCUUUCGUUAUGAUCCCUGCUGCUGUUAUAUAAAAGGUUGUUUGUCUUUUUAUCGUAAGCAUGUAAAAUGCUAUAUCUUUAGGGGCCCCUGGCUGGCUCAGUCGGUAGAGCAUGUGACCCCUGAUCUCAGAGUUAGGAGUUCAAGCUCCAUGUUGGGCAUGCAGCCCACUUAAAAAAAAAAAAAAGUUAUAUCUUUAAAAACCAACAAAUAUUUGGAUUCCAAAUGACCAACACUAAUAUUUUGUAAGGUAUAUGGAUAAUCAGCAAAGAGAAAAACCCCAAAUACCUUCAUUUUUCUCAUGCAGAGUGGUGACCUUACAUGUCAAGAUCCAGAUCAGCAGCUAGCACCCCGGAGAAAUAACUGAACACUGGCUUCAGCUCUGGGCCCCCGUCUACUUUGUGAAUAGUUAUCACCCAUGUCUGGGGUGAAAACUACCGUUAAAACUUUAUUAAAAUAUAACACAGCUUUUAAAAGUGCACAUGUCAUAAAUGCACUCCUCAUGAAUUGUCCAAAGUGAACAUUUCCGUGUUACAAACAUCAAGAAAGACAACAUCACCAGCCUCCCAUGUCCCCUCCAUCCGGUCGUCAGCCCCCCGAGAAUAACCUCUAUCCUGACUUCAGACUUCAUUAACUGUUUUUGUUUAUUCAUGAACUUCACAUAAAUAGA